UUAGUAAUUAUUAAUAAUAAAAUCUGCUCAAUGAUAUUAAAUAGCCGCAAAUUGUGCUAAGGUAGUAUAAUAAUUCGUCUUUUAAUUAAAGACCAAACAAAAGAUUUAACAUUUCAAAUUAUAUCUUAUAUUUAAAUAUAUAAAUUAUUUUAAAUUUAAAAAAAAUUUUAUUCAAUAAAAAGACGACAAGACCCUAUCAAACUUCACUUUAGUUAAACUGGGGAAGUUAAUUAAUAAUAACUUUAAUUAAAUUUAUUUAAAAUAAAUCUAAUAAAUUUAAUCGUAAAUCAAGUUACUGUAGGGAUAACAGUGUAAUUAUAUUUUUAAGUUCUUAUUUAAAAUAAAGAUUGCAACCUCGAUGUUGAUUUAAUUAUCUAUUUAAUGAAAAGAUUAAACAAGUAAGUCUGUUCGACUUGUAAAAAUU
rnacentral:rRNA from 1 species